AUGGAAUUCCCUCUUUCUUCAAAACAGCCUCCAGUCACUGUCAAGUCUGCCAUGGCUUUCAGAAACAGGAAGACCCAGCUGCACUGGCCUCCCCUCACCCCCAUCCUCCUGGCCAGGAGCCCCAGCCUACCUGGGCCUCACAGGGUCCGUUCUGGCCCCUCCCCAAGCACAGCCCACUGCCCAGGGAGGGGGGGGAAUCCUCCCACCCUCUCACCCCGCCCCUCACCCCAGCUCUGCAGUGGGGACAGAGCUUGCACCUGCGCUGGGCACCUCCCUCCCCGCACCUCGGUUUCCCCGGUGAUGGACACCACGCGGGAGCCUCCUUGUCGCUCUGAACGUCCGCGCCCAUUUUCCUGCGCGACCCCGCGUCUGGGGAGCAGCCGCUCCUCCCUUCCAGCAGACACGUGGUUGUGCAGUGCGCCCACCCUCGGCGACCCCCGUGCCUCUGGGAGAGUCUGCCGCCACCACAGCUCAGCGGCAGCCUGUGCCUCCUCCUGUCACCGGCCCGCAGCUCGGUCCCUGUGGAUUUUACCCAGGCCGCUUCCCUCAUCCCACAGCCCCGAAAAGACCCUGCCUGCCGCUCCCCACUCCCAGUGUCCAUGCCGGCUGCCAGGAAUUUCCAGUGCCCACCCAACCCCGCUGCUGCUGCGAGGGGCCAGCACUUUUUCUGAAACCCAGCUUUGGCCUCUGCCUCACCCUCUCCCGGGGGUCAUUCCAGGCAAACCACAGGAUCAACAGGGCCCAGCCCCUUCCCCAGCGAUCAAGCCCAGCCCCCUCCCCAGCGAAGGAGCCCCGCAUCACCUCCUCCCCCGCCGCGCCCGCACCCGCGCCCCGCCCCGCACACCUCGACCGGAGGAGGCAACGCUCAAAAUCAAAAUCGGGGAGCCCGCGCCUCUCUCAGCCGGCAGGGCCGACACCUGCUCGCAGGGAGGGUCCCGCGAACUCGGAAGGGAACGGGAGGCCGGCUUGGGCCAGGGCGCCGUCCCCACCGCGACCGUGCGGGUAGAGCUGGGCAGGUCGGCCGUCACUUACCCGCUGUCCUGGAGCAGCGCAGGCCGGGGGCGGACGGCGUUGGCGGCGUUGGCGUUGGCUUCGACAGAGUCCGCGGUCAACGCCCAGGAGCGCACGCGAGCGCAGCCCGGUGUACCCCGCGCACCUAACGGCCCCACGCCCGCACGCACCCGCCAGGCCUCAGUCUUUGGCCGCCCUCCUUGA
rnacentral:lncRNA from 1 species